rnacentral:rRNA from 1 species
GAUGAACGCUGGCGGCGUGCCUAAUACAUGUAAGUCGAGCGAACGGACGAGAAGCUUGCUUCUCUGAUGUUAGCGGCGGACGGGUGAGUAACACGUGGAUAACCUACCUAUAAGACUGGGAUAACUUCGGGAAACCGGAGCUAAUACCGGAUGAUAUUUUGAACCGCAUGGUUCAAAAGUGAAAGACGGUCUUGCUGUCACUUAUAGAUGGAUCCGCGCUGCAUUAGCUAGUUGGUAAGGUAACGGCUUACCAAGGCAACGAUGCAUAGCCGACCUGAGAGGGUGAUCGGCCACACUGGAACUGAGACACGGUCCAGACUCCUACGGGAGGCAGCAGUAGGAAAUCUUCCGCAAUGGGCGAAAGCCUGACGGAGCAACGCCGCGUGAGUGAUGAAGGUCUUCGGAUCGUAAAACUCUGUUAUUAGGGAAGAACAUAUGUGUAAGUAACUGUGCACAUCUUGACGGUACCUAAUCAGAAAGCCACGGCUAACUACGUG